rnacentral:misc_RNA from 1 species
AAAGAAUAAAAAAGGACGGAACAUGUAGGACUUCUACUGCCCUGACUGUAAGCGACUCACUGAGAUAGUCUUCGAUCACGCCGCCGGAGACACCAUCUGCUCCGAGUGCGGUUUGGUCCUCGAAGCUCACUCCGUCGAUGAGACAUCCGAGUGGCGUACUUUUGCCAACGAAUCCUCCGAUCACGAUCCUAACCGUAUUGGUGGUCCCAUUAACCCUCUCCUCGGCGAUGGUGGCCUUACCACUGUUAUUUCCAAAACGAAUGGCUCCUCCAAUGAGCUUCGCUCUGGCUCUAUCGGGAAAUGGCAGAGCCGUGGCGCCAAUUCUGAUCGUGGUUUGAUUCAGGCUUUCAAGUCCAUUGCUGCUAUGGCCGAUAGGUUGGGACUCGUUACAACCAUAAAGGAUCGAGCUAAUGAAAUAUAUAAGAAGGUAGAAGGUCAGAAACCUUUAAAAGGGCGAAAUCAAGACGCAAUUUUAGCUGCAUGUCUCUAUAUUGCUUGUCGACAAGAGAACAAGCCACGAACUGUAAAAGAAAUUUGUUCUGUUGUCAAUGGGGCUGCAAAGAAAGAAAUUGGCCGGGCAAAAGAGUUUAUUGUGAAACAUCUGGAGGUAGAGAUGGGGCAUGCUGUGGAAAUGGGAACUAUACAUGCUGCAGACUAUCUGAGACGUUUUUGCUCCAACCUUGGAAUGAUCAAUCAAGCAGUUAAGGCUGCCCAAGAAACUGUACAGAAAUCUGAAGAGCUUGAUAUAAGGAGGAGUCCAAUAUCAGUGGCAGCAGCUGUUAUUUACAUUAUUACUCAACUUACUGACGAUAAGAAGCCUCUCAAAGAUAUUUCAGUUGUUACUCAAGUCGCUGAAGGCACCAUCAAGAACUCCUAUAAGGAUCUUUAUCCUCACUUGUUACAGAUAGUACCAAGCUGGUUUGCCAAGGAAGAAGAUAUAAAGAAUCUUCAUCCAUAGAUCUAUCUACCCACAAGGAGAUUGAUGAUUAUACUUAAGUCACAGGAUUGAGUUUUGGACAUGUAUAUCUUUAUGGUUAUUUUAUACACAGAACAGGCUUUUCUUUUUUUUUUU